rnacentral:ncRNA from 1 species
CAAAGGUUUGGUCCUAGCCUUUCUAUUAGCCCUUAGUAAGAUUACACAUGCAAGUAUCCGCAACCCGGUGAAAAUGCCCUUCAAGUCACCUAGAGACUCAAAAGGAGCAGGUAUCAAGCACACUACACAGUAGCUCAUGACGCCUUGCCUAGCCACACCCCCACGGGAUACAGCAGUGACAAAAAUUAAGCCAUGAACGAAAGUUCGACUAAGCUAUACUAACUAUCAAGGGUUGGUAAAUUUCGUGCCAGCCACCGCGGUCAUACGAUUAACCCAAGUUAAUAGAUAUACGGCGUAAAACGUGUUAAGGAGAUAACCGCCUCAUAAUAAAGUUAAAUCCCAACUGUGCUGUAAAAAGCCCUAGCCAGGACAAAAAUAAACCACGAAAGUGACUUUAACCAAAUCCGAUUACACGAUAGCUAAGACACAAACUGGGAUUAGAUACCCCACUAUGCUUAGCCCUAAACCUAAAUAGCCAAUCACAACAAUGCUAUUCGCCAGAGUACUACUAGCAACAGCUUAAAACUCAAAGGACUUGGCGGUGCUUUAUAUCCCUCUAGAGGAGCCUGUUCUGUAAUCGAUAAACCCCGAUAAACCUCACCAACCCUUGCUAAUACAGCCUAUAUACCGCCAUCUUCAGCAAACCCUAAAAAGGAGACACAGUAAGCAAAACCAUUAAACAUAAAAACGUUAGGUCAAGGUGUAGCCCAUGAGUUGGAAAGAAAUGGGCUACAUUUUCUCACAUAGAACAUUUCACACGGAAAUUUUCGUGAAACCGAAAAUAGAAGGAGGAUUUAGUAGUAAAUUGAGAAUAGAGAGCUCAAUUGAAUUAGGCCAUGAAGCACGCACACACCGCCCGUCACCCUCCUCAAGUAUAAAGAUACAAAUUUUAAGCCUAACCAUAUUUACAAAUGUACACACGUACAAGAGGAGACAAGUCGUAACAAGGUAAGCGUACUGGAAAGUGCGCU